UUCUAGCACUGAUGGAAGCGGCAUCCUUUUGUGGCGGGGUUCGCCACAAAAGAUAUAGCGAACAGCAGGAUUAGCU
rnacentral:sRNA from 1 species